rnacentral:rRNA from 1 species
AGAACGAACGCUGGCGGCAUGCCUAAUACAUGCAAGUCGGACGAACUCUUCGGAGUUAGUGGCGCACGGGUGCGUAACGCGUGGGAAUCUGCCCCUUGGUUCGGAAUAACAGUUGGAAACGACUGCUAAUACCGGAUGAUGACGAAAGUCCAAAGAUUUAUCGCCAAGGGAUGAGCCCGCGUAGGAUUAGCUAGUUGGUGAGGUAAAGGCUCACCAAGGCAACGAUCCUUAGCUGGUCUGAGAGGAUGAACUCGACG